rnacentral:rRNA from 1 species
AUUGAACGCUGGCGGCAUGCCUUACACAUGCAAGUCGAACGGUAACAGGUCUUCGGAUGCUGACGAGUGGCGAACGGGUGAGUAAUACAUCGGAACGUGCCCGAUCGUGGGGGAUAACGGAGCGAAAGCUUUGCUAAUACCGCAUACGAUCUACGGAUGAAAGCAGGGGACCGCAAGGCCUUGCGCGAACGGAGCGGCCGAUGGCAGAUUAGGUAGUUGGUGGGAUAAAAGCUUACCAAGCCGACGAUCUGUAGCUGGUCUGAGAGGACGACCAGCAACACUGGGACUGAGACACGGCCCAGACUCCUACGGGAGGCAGCAGUGGGGAAUUUUGGACAAUGGGCGCAAGCCUGAUCCAGCAAUGCCGAGUGCAGGAUGAAGGCCUUCGGGUUGUAAACUGCUUUUGUACGGAACGAAAAGGCUCUGGUUAAUACCUGGGGCUCAUGACGGUACCGUAAGAAUAAGCACCGGCUAACUACGUGCCAGCCGCCGCCGUAAAAC